rnacentral:rRNA from 1 species
AUUGAACGCUGGCGGCAGGCCUAACACAUGCAAGUCGAACGAGAAGCGGACUGGUGAGCAAUGUCUGGGAACCUGCCUGACGUAGGGGGCUCACUGCUGUAAACGGUAGCUACUACUGCUAACCAUCGGUUGUGUCUCGAUGGGUUUAGCUAGUAGGGGGGGUAAAGGCUCACCUAGGCGACGAUCCCUAGCUGGUCUGAGUGGAUGACCAGCCACACUGGAACUGAGACACGGUCCAGACUCCUACGGGAGGCAGCAGUGGGGAAUAGUGCACAAUGGGCGCAAGCCUGAUGCAGCCAGGCCGCGUGUAUGAAGAAGGCUUUCGGGUUGUAAAGUACGUUCAGCGGGGAGGCGUUACCCGCAGAAGAAGCACCGGCUAACUCCGUGCCAGCAGCCGCGGUAAUUC